ACAGAGCCAGGAUUUUUCAUUGAAACAUAUAGGCAGAAUCAACAAGAGGUUUCCAUUUCACCCCGCAAAAGCAGGGGUGAAAUCUACUUACCUUCCUUACCGGUUCGGAAGUGCACGUGCCCCGCGUGUGCACUAGUGCAUCACAUGCACGUGCAAACCCUCUGCGCAUGCGCAAAACCUUCUACACAUGUGCAGAUGGUAAAAAACACAAGGAAGAAAAAAACAGGAAGUAACGACACCGGGCGGGUGGGCGGAGCCUCGCACCGCCAUUGCUACCAGUUCUCUGAACCACCUGCCACAAUUGCUACCAGAUUGCUCGAUCCGGUCCGAACCAGGAGGAUUUCACCCCUGAGCAAAAGAGAAAAUAAAAUUCAAAAACAUUUAGCAAGAAGGUCUAUACUUCAGCUUCACCUCAAGUGUUCAUUUGUCUCUUUCCAGAAGUAAAUGCUAAAGAAUUGAUUGAUUCUGAUUUAGUCAAAUAUUGCAUCUGGAUAUCUUCAAAGUGCAAUUAUGCUUCACUUAUCCAAGCAGUUCCUUUUUGGGUUGUAACCGGCAAUUACAUUUUCUUCAUUUAUUAUAAGAAAUAAAAAUGGAAUGAUCAGCUUUCUAGCAUCUGCUUGGGAAGACCCAGCAGGCUUCACCUUUUAAAGAAUGAAUGAAUAGAGCACAUAGAAGACAAACCUAUAGCCACUUGGAAUCCAUGUAUGAAUAGAAAUGGUCACCUACAGCUUCAAGUUAUUCUAGCUGUCAUUGCAGUCUCUCUUGCAAAUUAGCCUGAGAACAAGCUGUGCAUGUAGAAGGUCAGAUGCAGUUCCAGCAUUUCCGCAAGAAUCUUUCUUUUCCACUGUUUUCUUUUUCCAGCCUUGAAAAAGAGGGGAUGGAGCAAAGAAAUUGUUUUUUGUCUUUCUUCUGCAUGAACUGCAAGGAGUUUCCUUGCUGCUUCUCAACCAAGGACUAAGAAGGCUUUUCUGAAAAUUGUUAUUGUUGAAAUUGUUAGAAUCAGGCUUAUAGUUCCAUCCAUGAAUGUAACAUUACGAAUAUGUUUCUUAACAUGUUCUCUGCUGUACAUUUUAUAAAACAUCCUUAGGAAUGGAAGUUUUUAUUAAUGUAUCAAGCUGUGCCUACUAACUCAUUACACAGUUGCCUUGAGAGGAGGCAGCUAAUUCAG